AAUUGAGGACACAGUUGAAGAGUUGUAAUAAUCAAACUAAUCAGAUACCUUAAUCAAAUAGUGAUCAGAGAGACUCAAAAAAUCAACAAGGGAACGUAAUAAUGGAUCCGUAUGGACCGUAUCAUCAAAUGAACAAUGGAUACGCGUAUGGAGUGCCCGUGGCGGCCGCGCAGAACAUGAACGUGGUGGUGGUGAGUGACGUUUUCUGCUGUCCUUACCCGCUCGAGCUUACCGUCAAGAAGAAUUGUAAAGGACUGAGCGGUGCGAAGCGGGAGGUCGUUGACAUCAAAUCUAACGUCGUUCUUCGUGUUGAUGGUCCUCACGACAGCUUCAACAAGAAACGCAUUCUCCGUGACCCCGCCGGUUACCCUCUUCUCACCAUGCGCGAGAAGAUUCAUCAUGCAUGCAUAUGCCUCAAAAUCCCACGAAACGAAACCGAGUGAAAAAUCCGAAACCGUAGUGUAACCGGUUAUCCAUCCUUAACCGAUUGUUUUAUAUUUUUGUAACCAAAACUAAUAUACACAGUUGACGUCGUUGAAUCACCGAUGGACGGUUCACUGAGGAGAAGGUUCUGAUCCAUCUAACGGAGCUGAUGUUCACAGUGCAGCGUUCUCAUCCUUUUCAAUGGAGGGCACGCCUCGAUGUCUCCUUUCAAUCUAAUAACCAAGUCCGCAAUUUCAGCGUUGUAGGCACUUACUUCGACGACUCCGCUAAGGUCUACCAUGCAGACACUCUCGUUGCCGAGGUGAAGGAGAAGUCGACAUUUGGAGGAUAUUUCAAAGGGAAACAAGACUUUGUUGUUAGAAUAAAUGCAGGCGUUGACUACGCUUUCGUCGUUUCUCUUCUGAUCAUCUUGAACGAGACCAACUCCUUUUAGCUUAUCCACUUAUAUUUGAUUGUUAUAUACUAUUCGGUGAUGCUUAGAUACUGCAUGAUUGUGUUAAUAUUUUGUACAAACCAAAUGAUUUAGAAGUGUGUUGCAUUGUUUAUUUACCACGACAACUUAAGAAACA